CUGUCACACUGGAUCCCGUACGAUCACCGAAGUUAAGUGACGUCGAACCUGGUCAGUACCUAAAUGGGUAAUCGCUUGGAAAUAUCAGGUGAUGUAAG